GACGAACGCUGGCGGCGUGCUUAACACAUGCAAGUCGAACGGAAAGGCCCUGCUUUUGUGGGGUGCUCGAGUGGCGAACGGGUGAGUAACACGUGAGUAACCUGCCCUUGACUUUGGGAUAACUUCAGGAAACUGGGGCUAAUACCGGAUAGGAGCUCCUGCUGCAUGGUGGGGGUUGGAAAGUUUCGGCGGUUGGGGAUGGACUCGCGGCUUAUCAGCUUGUUGGUGGGGUAGUGGCUUACCAAGGCUUUGACGGGUAGCCGGCCUGAGAGGGUGACCGGCCACAUUGGGACUGAGAUACGGCCCAGACGCCUACGGGAGGCAGCAGGGGGGAAUAUUGCACAAGGGGCGGAAGCCUGAUGCAGCAACGCCGCGUGCGGGAUGACGGCCUUCGGGUUGUAAACCGCUUUCGCCUGGGACGAAGCGUGAGUGACGGUAAUGGGUAAAGAAGCACCGGCUAACUACGUG
rnacentral:rRNA from 1 species